UUUGUAUAGUUAGCUAAAGAUAGUGUAUGAAGGGCGGAGAGAACUUGAAGUACAUCUAUAAGUGCAUGUGAGUAUAUCUGAAAUGAAACCUCACACAUAUCAAAUUUGAAAUUUAUGGCGAAACAGUUCUUCGCUUGCUCUCCAUUUUCCUUUUGUUUUGUUUUCGUGGUUUUGGUCGUCAUGGCCAACUAUCAAGGAGGAGUUUUAGUCAAUGGCAGAGAAGUUUGUGAUGGCAAUAUUUUGGGAGAAGUAGUAUCUCGCGGUGGUGACUGUCGUGAAUGCACUCCUCACUGUUUAAAGUUCUACGAUGAUGUUGUUCGGGGCGACUGUUUCCCGUAUGUGUGUUUCUGUUGCGGUCCUGUGAACGCUUUAAGAAACGUUGUCCUCGUUAAAUGAUCUUUCAUGGCACCCCGGCCACUAACUAAUUUCUGAUCGAUAUCUUAACUUUUCCUAUUAAUAUUUACUAUUUCCUCUGUUUUAAAAAUGUAAGCUUGUUUCAUGUAUAAAUUUCUCAUCAAACAAGCCCAUCUUUUUGAAACAGAAGGUAUGUAAUUCUUGGUCAGGGAUAUUGACACAUUACACUGUGUUUAUUUGUUACAGUAUAUUCUAGUCAAGAACUUGAAUUACUCUUAAAUUUA